AUUAAAUCUUCCUGUUCUGUUUUAACCCAAUUAUAUAUAUGGUACUUUGAAUAACCAGAAGAAAUGAUGCAGGACACGGAAAUUGCUAUGUAUGAAAACAUGUGGCGUUCACAGGCCAAGUUGGAAGCUGGAAAACAGAGAUCCGGUAGACAUCAGAGAGGAAGAGGAAGUUGCGUUCUGCUCAUUCUAGACUGUUCAGAAAGCAUGAGGGGGCAGCCUUUGAGAGAGAUGAAAAGAGGAGUCUUCACGAUACUAGAUGAGUUCUAUCAAAACCCGGGGAUGGGUGAAAAUGUCUCUGUUAUAGUGAUGGGGCACGAAACAAAAUUCCUGCAGUAUUACUCAAACCAAUAUUUGGCAAUCAAACGACACAUAGAGGAAGUGGAAUGUGGUGGACCCUCACCACUCACUGCCGCCUUUAUCUUGGCCCUCGGGGGACUGUUGGAAGGAGCAGAUACUAGCACCAUUCUUUGCGGUUUUACAUCGAAUAGGAGCAGAUCAUCCAAUUUUCUGUUUCCCAGUCUGAAAAAAUCCAAAUUACGCUUUAUUACAAACCAUAUCGGGUGUUUCUAAGGGAGGCAAAGUUUUGGAGAUUUAUGAAGCAAAGUGUUUUGGACGAUAUACCCUCCAUUACCUUUCAGCAACAUUGAUAUGCAAAGUAACAAAUGAGGAUGAAAUAGAAAGAGAGAAUUUGAGAUCCGUGGGUGAAUCUGCACUACAAUGGCAGACCUAUGACGUAGAAUCUGUACGGGUAUGGCAGACCUAUGGUGAGGACGAUUUGGUAUGUCUACAAGAUCAUAGUAUUUUUCUUAACAAGUAUCAAUUCAAAUAAGUUGAUUAUACAAUUUAAAAUAAGAGCAGAAUCACU